rnacentral:lncRNA from 1 species
GCCACAGACCAUACACACCCAUUACCAAUGAGCAAUAGAUUCCGGUAACCCCCUCCUGUCUACCAGAGUCCUCUCCCUGUAACCCAGAAUGUUUGCACGUCCCACCCGCGCUUUGCCCAGCUCCUCACUGUCCUUGGACUUCCCUGGAGAACGUAGAACUGAUGUGCACUGUUGGCUCCUGUUGUGCUGCACAGGCCUCCGUACAAACGGAACUCAAGGUGGGUGUUCGCAACUGACACGGUGUAGAAAUGCUUUUUAAUGGUGAGCUUUAAAGAUAAUAGUAAAAUAAAGAGAAAGAAAAUAAUGGUCGAAAGAACAUCACUAAUUUAGGCAGUGAAGCCAUUAGCUAUAGCAGAACAAAAUUGCAUUCUAAUUUCUUGUAAAACGUGUAACUCAGCACAAAAUCAAAUUUCGUUUCAUCUUCAGAUCUUCAUCCUGUUUCCAAACAAGAUUGCCC